AGCGUACACGGUGGAUGCCCUGGCAGUCAGAGGCGAUGAAGGACGUGCUAAUCUGCGAUAAGCGUCGGUAAGGUGAUAUGAACCGUUAUAACCGGCGAUUUCCGAAUGGGGAAACCCAGUGUGUUUCGACACACUAUCAUUAACUGAAUCCAUAGGUUAAUGAGGCGAACCGGGGGAACUGAAACAUCUAAGUACCCCGAGGAAAAGAAAUCAACCGAGAUUCCCCCAGUAGCGGCGAGCGAACGGGGAGCAGCCCAGAGCCUGAAUCAGUGUGUGUGUUAGUGGAAGCGUCUGGAAAGGCGCGCGAUACAGGGUGACAGCCCCGUACACAAAAAUGCACAUGCUGUGAGCUCGAUGAGUAGGGCGGGACACGUGGUAUCCUGUCUGAAUAUGGGGGGACCAUCCUCCAAGGCUAAAUACUCCUGACUGACCGAUAGUGAACCAGUACCGUGAGGGAAAGGCGAAAAGAACCCCGGCGAGGGGAGUGAAAAAGAACCUGAAACCGUGUACGUACAAGCAGUGGGAGCACGCUUAGGCGUGUGACUGCGUACCUUUUGUAUAAUGGGUCAGCGACUUAUAUUCUGUAGCAAGGUUAACCGAAUAGGGGAGCCGAAGGGAAACCGAGUCUUAACUGGGCGUUAAGUUGCAGGGUAUAGACCCGAAACCCGGUGAUCUAGCCAUGGGCAGGUUGAAGGUUGGGUAACACUAACUGGAGGACCGAACCGACUAAUGUUGAAAAAUUAGCGGAUGACUUGUGGCUGGGGGUGAAAGGCCAAUCAAACCGGGAGAUAGCUGGUUCUCCCCGAAAGCUAUUUAGGUAGCGCCUCGUGAAUUCAUCUCCGGGGGUAGAGCACUGUUUCGGCAAGGGGGUCAUCCCGACUUACCAACCCGAUGCAAACUGCGAAUACCGGAGAAUGUUAUCACGGGAGACACACGGCGGGUGCUAACGUCCGUCGUGAAGAGGGAAACAACCCAGACCGCCAGCUAAGGUCCCAAAGUCAUGGUUAAGUGGGAAACGAUGUGGGAAGGCCCAGACAGCCAGGAUGUUGGCUUAGAAGCAGCCAUCAUUUAAAGAAAGCGUAAUAGCUCACUGGUCGAGUCGGCCUGCGCGGAAGAUGUAACGGGGCUAAACCAUGCACCGAAGCUGCGGCAGCGACGCUUAUGCGUUGUUGGGUAGGGGAGCGUUCUGUAAGCCUGCGAAGGUGUGCUGUGAGGCAUGCUGGAGGUAUCAGAAGUGCGAAUGCUGACAUAAGUAACGAUAAAGCGGGUGAAAAGCCCGCUCGCCGGAAGACCAAGGGUUCCUGUCCAACGUUAAUCGGGGCAGGGUGAGUCGACCCCUAAGGCGAGGCCGAAAGGCGUAGUCGAUGGGAAACAGGUUAAUAUUCCUGUACUUGGUGUUACUGCGAAGGGGGGACGGAGAAGGCUAUGUUGGCCGGGCGACGGUUGUCCCGGUUUAAGCGUGUAGGCUGGUUUUCCAGGCAAAUCCGGAAAAUCAAGGCUGAGGCGUGAUGACGAGGCACUACGGUGCUGAAGCAACAAAUGCCCUGCUUCCAGGAAAAGCCUCUAAGCAUCAGGUAACAUCAAAUCGUACCCCAAACCGACACAGGUGGUCAGGUAGAGAAUACCAAGGCGCUUGAGAGAACUCGGGUGAAGGAACUAGGCAAAAUGGUGCCGUAACUUCGGGAGAAGGCACGCUGAUAUGUAGGUGAAGUCCCUUGCGGAUGGAGCUGAAAUCAGUCGAAGAUACCAGCUGGCUGCAACUGUUUAUUAAAAACACAGCACUGUGCAAACACGAAAGUGGACGUAUACGGUGUGACGCCUGCCCGGUGCCGGAAGGUUAAUUGAUGGGGUUAGCGGUAACGCGAAGCUCUUGAUCGAAGCCCCGGUAAACGGCGGCCGUAACUAUAACGGUCCUAAGGUAGCGAAAUUCCUUGUCGGGUAAGUUCCGACCUGCACGAAUGGCGUAAUGAUGGCCAGGCUGUCUCCACCCGAGACUCAGUGAAAUUGAACUCGCUGUGAAGAUGCAGUGUACCCGCGGCAAGACGGAAAGACCCCGUGAACCUUUACUAUAGCUUGACACUGAACAUUGAGCCUUGAUGUGUAGGAUAGGUGGGAGGCUUUGAAGUGUGGACGCCAGUCUGCAUGGAGCCGACCUUGAAAUACCACCCUUUAAUGUUUGAUGUUCUAACGUUGACCCGUGAUCCGGGUUGCGGACAGUGUCUGGUGGGUAGUUUGACUGGGGCGGUCUCCUCCUAAAGAGUAACGGAGGAGCACGAAGGUUGGCUAAUCCUGGUCGGACAUCAGGAGGUUAGUGCAAUGGCAUAAGCCAGCUUGACUGCGAGCGUGACGGCGCGAGCAGGUGCGAAAGCAGGUCAUAGUGAUCCGGUGGUUCUGAAUGGAAGGGCCAUCGCUCAACGGAUAAAAGGUACUCCGGGGAUAACAGGCUGAUACCGCCCAAGAGUUCAUAUCGACGGCGGUGUUUGGCACCUCGAUGUCGGCUCAUCACAUCCUGGGGCUGAAGUAGGUCCCAAGGGUAUGGCUGUUCGCCAUUUAAAGUGGUACGCGAGCUGGGUUUAGAACGUCGUGAGACAGUUCGGUCCCUAUCUGCCGUGGGCGCUGGAGAACUGAGGGGGGCUGCUCCUAGUACGAGAGGACCGGAGUGGACGCAUCACUGGUGUUCGGGUUGUCAUGCCAAUGGCACUGCCCGGUAGCUAAAUGCGGAAGAGAUAAGUGCUGAAAGCAUCUAAGCACGAAACUUGCCCCGAGAUGAGUUCU
rnacentral:rRNA from 1 species